AUAUUUGUAAGGAAAAUUUUAAAAUAAUAUAUUUUGUUUAUUGUUUUAGUGAAUGGAUGUGAUUCUUCGUGAAAGGAUGCAAUCCUUAGUGAAUGGAUGCAACUCUUAGUGAAUGGAUGCAACCCUUAGUGAGUGGAUGCAACUCUAAUCAAAGGGUAUGACUCUUAAAGUGAAAGGAUGUGACUUUUAGUGAAAGAAUAUGAUAUGAAAAGACACAUCUUUAUAGUGUGUCUCUUCGUACAUAUGCCCGUUGGAAUCAAUGGUUAUAUUCAUUGAACUUGAUUCAUAUAACUAUUUGGUAGUUAUGAUCAAAUGAAAAGUCACAAUCGAAAGGUCACUUCACGAAACACCCUUUCGUGAAUAGUUACUUCAUGAAGCACCCGUUCGUGGCCUAUAUAAGUCCAUAGCAUUGGUUGCAGAAGGAGACAGACAGAAAACAGUUGAAGAGUUGAAGUCUUCAUUCAUAAUAAUUCCAUUCUUGUUUUAUAUUCUAUUUCUUUUGACAACUUAAUCGAGUGAGUGCUCAAAGGCUCGACUUCGUGUGUGCAAACGCAGUUGAGGUUUACGCUUCAUUGUAUCCUGGGAGGUUGUUCGUUGACCCGGUGCACACCAAAUUGUUAGAACGGUGGGGACGGAUUAAGCCUUAAGGAAAGUGGCAUUGCUACACGCCUUGAAGCCUUUUUAAUCUUUCUAUUUCAUACCUUUAUCACAAUCUGUUCCAACAAUCUUAAGGCUUAAAACCGAAAAUGUCGACUGCUACUCUACGAGAGAUGGCAACAAACUUUAUGAGACUAGAAAGAUUUGAUGGCAUGGACUUCAGACGCUGGCAGAAGAAAUUAUUUUUCCUUCUGUCGACUCUCAAAGUUGCUUAUGUCCUCACUACUCCAAGACCAGAAGAAAACGAUGAUGAACCUGUUGCACAAACUCGUACAAGACAAAAAUGGGAUGAAGAUGACAAUAUAUGCCGAGGCAAUAUUCUAAAUGCUAUGUCGGAUGCGCUUUUCGACGUCUAUCAAAAUGUGAAAACGGCUAAAGAACUGUGGGAAGGCCUUGAAGAAAAAUACAAAUCCGAGGAUGCCACAAGUAAGAAGUUUCUUGUUAGCAAAUUUAAUAACUAUAAAAUGGUUGAUAGUAGAUCUGUUCUAGAUCAAUUACAUGAAAUUCAACAUAUUCUCAAUCAAUUUACUCAACAUAAUAUGAAUAUGGAUGAAUCUAUAAUUGUGGCCUCUAUAAUCGAUAAACUUCCUCCAUCAUGGAAAGACUUUAAGAAAAGUCUUAAACAUAGAAAGGAAGAGAUUACUCUUAAAGAUUUGGCUAACCAUCUUCGCAUAGAAGAAGAAUAUCGUUUGCAAGAUAGCAAAAAGGAGCAAGAUGCUCAGAGUGCCAAAGUGUAUGUGACGGAAGAUGAGUAUAGUAAAACCCGUCAACCCACAAAAGAAAAUCGAAAGAGAGCUAAGCAUCCGAUCAACCACAACAUGACAAAUAAGAAAAAGAAAGGUGCAUGCUUUCAUUGUGGUAAACCAGGCCACUACAAGAAAGAAUGUCGGUUCCUCAAAAAGGAAAGUGCACCGGAUUCCAAAAGAAAUUUUGUGGCUAUGAUAUCCGAGGCUAAUAUACUCGAAGAUGACGGAGCUUGGUGGAUUGAUUCGGGUUCCACAAGGCAUGUGUGCAAGGAUAAAAGUUUAUUCAAAACUUAUGAUGCAUUGGAGGAUGGAAACGUUCUCUAUAUGGGCAAUUCUUCAACAGCACAAAUCAAAGGAAAGGGCAAGGUGGAACUCGAGUUCACAUCAGGAAAAACUCUCACUCUCACCGAUGUGUAUCAUGUACCUGAAGUUAGGAAGAAUCUUAUUUCAGGAAGUCUUCUUAACAAAUUUGGGUUCAAACUUGUAUUUGAGGCCGACAAAUUUAUUUUGUCGAAGGGUGGAAUCUUUGUGGGAAAAGGAUAUUUGUAUGAGGGCAUGUUCAAACUCAAUCUUAUUAAUAAAAUAAAUAUUUCAGCCUAUAUUAUUGACUCUUCUUCUUUAUGGCAUAAUCGUUUAGGACAUGUUAAUUAUAGAAAAUUACAAGAUAUGGCUAAGUUAGAGUUAAUUCCUAAUUUUGAUAAUAAAUUAGAAAAAUGUAAUACUUGCAUGCUCACUAAAAUUACUAGAAAGUCUUUUCCUAAAAUUGAUAGAUGUUCUAAUCUACUUGAGUUGGUACAUAGUGAUGUUUGUGACUUGCAUGCUUCUCCUUCUAUUGGUGGAAAGAAAUAUUUUGUUACAUUUAUUGAUGAUUUUUCUAGAUAUAGUUAUGUUUAUCUUUUGCAUUCUAAAAAUGAAGCGCUAGAUAAAUUUAGAAUUUAUAAAUCUGAAGUUGAGGUGAAAUGUGAGAAAAUGGUCAAAUGCCUAAGAACAGACAGAGGAGGAGAAUAUUAUGAUCCUUCAUUUUUUGAGUCCAUUGGUAUUAUACAUGAAACCUCUGCACCUUAUACUCCACAACAAAACGGAGUUGCAGAAAGAAAAAAUAGAACAUUAAUGGAAAUGGUCAAUGCUAUGCUUUCUAACUCUGGGUUAAGUUAUGGAUUUUGGGGCGAAGCUUUAUUAACAGCUUGCCAUCUACUAAAUAGAAUCCCAACAAAAAAGAAUGAUAAAACUCCUUAUGAAUUAUUCAAGGGAAGAAAGCCCAAUUUAAAUUAUUUAAAAGUUUGGGGUUGUAGAGCUAUUGUGAGGGUUCCAGAACCGAAAAGAAAGAAACUGGGUGAAAGAGGAAUUGAGUGCAUAUUUAUUGGGUAUGCACAACAUAGUAAAGCAUACAGAUUUUACGUGAUUGAAUCUAAUGACUUCAUUGAGAUCAACACAGUUUUUGAAUCUAAAGAUGCUAUAUUUGAUGAAAACAGAUUUGUAUCAAUUCCUAGACCCAAAGAACUUAUUGUGAGUAAAGAACACUCCAAUGAGAAAAAUGAUGUUGCAAUUGAAACCCCAGAACUUAGAAGGAGUAAAAGAGUUAGAAUUGCUAAAACAUUUGGACCAGAUUUUUAUACUUUUCUUGUUGAGGGUAGUAGAGAAAUGAUUACAGAAAGUUUCCAAUUUUGUUUAAACAUUGACUCAGACCCCACAACAUUUGAGGAGGCAAUGAAAUCUCCUGAUGUCGCUUUUUGGAAAGAAGCGAUAAAUGAUGAAAUGGACUCAAUUAUGACAAACCAAACAUGGAAAUUAGUUGAUCUUCCUCCUGGAUGUAAACCUAUUGGGUGUAAAUGGAUUUUCAAAAAGAAAAUCAAUGUAAAUGGCACCAUAGAUAAAUUCAAGGCAAGACUUGUUGCCAAAGGGUUUACACAAAAAGAAGGCAUUGAUUAUUUUGAUACCUAUGCACCUGUUGCCAGAUUAGCGACUAUUAGAACUUUGAUUGCUCUUGCUUCAAUGUAUAAUUUGAUUAUUCAUCAAAUGGAUGUCAAAACAGCAUUCUUAAAUGGAGAAUUAGAUGAAGAAGUUUAUAUGGAACAGCCCGAGGGCUUUGUUGUUCCUGGACAAGAGCACAAAGUGUGUAAACUUAUCAAGUCGUUGUAUGGGCUUAAACAAGCACCUAAACAAUGGCAUCAAAAGUUUGAUCAGAUUGUUCUUUCCAAUGGUUAUAAAAUUAAUCAAUCUGAUAAAUGUGUUUAUAGUAAAUUUUCAAAUGGUAAAGGUGUUAUUAUAUGUCUAUAUGUUGAUGACAUGUUAAUUUUUGGCACCGAUGUUCAGCAAGUAGAAAAUACUAAAAAUUUUUUAUCUUGCAAUUUUGAUAUGAAAGAUAUGGGGGAGGCUGAUAUUAUUUUGGGAAUUAAAAUUAUUCGUGAAAAUAAUGGAUUAUUUUUAACACAGUCUCAUUAUAUCGAAAAGAUUCUUAGAAAAUUUGGUUAUUUUGAUUGUACUCCAGUAUCAACUCCUUUUGAUCCUAAUCUAAAACUAGUUCGUAAUACUGGUAGAUCAAUUAAUCAGUUAGAAUAUUCUAAGAUUAUUGGAAGUUUGAUGUAUGCCAUGUCUUGUACUAGGCCUGAUAUUGCAUUUGCUGUUGGUAAAUUAAGUAGAUUUACUAGCAAUCCAGGUAAUGUACAUUGGCAUGCUAUUUACAGAAUUUUGAAAUAUUUGAAAAAGACAAUGGACUAUGGAAUUUUCUAUAGUGGAUAUCCAACAGUAUUGGAAGGCUAUACAGAUGCCAGUUGGAUAACAGAUCAAGAAGAUCAUGCAUCCACAAGUGGGUGGAUAUUUAUAUUAGGUGGAGGUGCGAUUUCUUGGGGUUCUAAGAAACAGACAUGUAUAGCGGACUCUACCAUGGCAGCAGAAUUUAUAGCACUAGCGUCUGCUAGUAAGGAGGCGGAAUGGAUAAGGAAUUUAUUAUAUGAAAUUCCAGUUUGGCCAAAACCAAUGCCGCCGGUAUCGCUACAUUGCGAUAGUGAAGCUACGCUCUCAAGAGCAUAUAGUCAAACAUACAAUGGGAAGUCAAGACAUAUUGGAUUAAGACAUAGCUAUGUAAAACAACUGAUAUCAGAUGGCAUAAUUACCAUUGAUUUUGUAAGAUCAAACCAAAAUCUUGCGGAUCCGUUGACUAAGGGACUUCCAAGAGAAUUGAUAUUCAGGACAUCGAUGGGGAUGGGUCUCAAGCCCAUAUUACAAAGUCACCAAUGAUGGAAACUCGACUUAACACUUGAAACAUCAUCAAGUCUUAAGUUCAAUGAGCCAAAGUACAUCAUAUGGAGUGAUUGCAAGCACUAUAAUAUAAAAUUUCCAUCCCAAGUAAAGUGCUUGGUAUCCGUAUUGAAAAGGGAAGGUUGAACUAAUAAAGUUCUUAAUAGACCUACAGUAGUAUUUACUGAAGUGUUAAAUACGGGACACUUCUGGUAGAGUCUACCUAUAUGAAUGUGAAGUGUGGCCGCUUCUAGGAGUUAAGGGCUUGACUCUAACAGCAUUCAUGAAACAGGAUGCGGACACAAGGCCAUAAAAGUGUCAGCAAUAAAAUAGAGCACUCGACUGAUUAUAAAUUUCUAUGUGUGAGAUAUGUCCGGUUAGUCGAAAAUAAUUGUUGGUUCAAAGCUUGUCUACCAUUCAAUUAUGACUAACUUUGAUGUGUUUUCACUAAGUGUAGGUUCAAGUUUUAAUACACCUACACCUAUGCAUACGGUUUUGUCAAGUUGUCAAGAAUUUUGAUUUUGAUUUUUGAUUUUGUUUUAUUUUGCUUUUUGAUGUAUUUUUAUGUAUUUUAAAAUUUGGUGGGGAAUUGUAAGGAAAAUUUUAAAAUAAUAUAUUUUGUUUAUUGUUUUUAGUGAAUGGAUGUGAUUCUUCGUGAAAGGAUGCAAUCCUUAGUGAAUGGAUGCAACUCUUAGUGAAUGGAUGCAACCCUUAGUGAGUGGAUGCAACUCUAAUCAAAGGGUAUGACUCUUAGAGUGAAAGGAUGUGACUUUUAGUGAAAGAAUAUGAUAUGAAAAGACACAUCUUUAUAGUGUGUCUCUUCGUACAUAUGCCCGUUGGAAUCAAUGGUUAUAUUCAUUGAACUUGAUUCAUAUAACUAUUUGGUAGUUAUGAUCAAAUGAAAAGUCACAAUCGAAAGGUCACUUCACGAAACACCCUUUCGUGAAUAGUUACUUCAUGAAGCACCCGUUCGUGGCCUAUAUAAGUCCAUAGCAUUGGUU
rnacentral:lncRNA from 1 species